rnacentral:rRNA from 1 species
GAUGAACGCUAGCUACAGGCUUAACACAUGCAAGUCGAGGGGCAGCAUGAACUUAGCUUGCUAAGUUUGAUGGCGACCGGCGCACGGGUGAGUAACACGUAUCCAACCUUCCGUUUACUCAGGGAUAGCCUUUCGAAAGAAAGAUUAAUACCUGAUAGUAUGGUGAGAUUGCAUGAUAACACCAUUAAAGAUUUAUUGGUAAACGAUGGGGAUGCGUUCCAUUAGGUAGUAGGCGGGGUAACGGCCCACCUAGCCUGCGAUGGAUAGGGGUUCUGAGAGGAAGGUCCCCCACAUUGGAACUGAGACACGGUCCAAACUCCUACGGGAGGCAGCAGUGAGGAAUAUUGGUCAAUGGGCGAGAGCCUGAACCAGCCAAGUAGCGUGAAGGAUGAAGGUCCUACGGAUUGUAAACUUCUUUUANACGGGAAUAAAGUUUCCUACGUGUAGGAUUUUGUAUGUACCGUAUGAAUAAGCAUCGGCUAACUCCGUGCCAGCAGCCG